rnacentral:rRNA from 1 species
GAUGAACGCUGGCGGCGUGCCUAAUACAUGCAAGUCGAGCGAACAGACGAGAGUGCUUGCACUCUCUGACGUUAGCGGCGGACGGGUGAGUAACACGUGGGUAACCUACCUAUAAGACUGGGAUAACUUCGGGAAACCGGAGCUAAUACCGGAUAAUAUUUAGCUUCGCAUGAAGCAAUAGUGAAAGACGGUUCUGCUGUCACUUAUAGAUGGACCCGCGGUGUAUUAGCUAGUUGGUGAGGUAACGGCUCACCAAGGCAACGAUACAUAGCCGACCUGAGAGGGUGAUCGGCCACACUGGGACUGAGACACGGCCCAGACUCCUACGGGAGGCAGCAGUAGGGAAUCUUCCGCAAUGGACGAAAGUCUGACGGAGCAAUGCCGCGUGAGUGAAGAAGGUGUUCGGAUCGUAAAACUCUGUUGUAAGGGAAGAACAAGUACGUUAGUAACUGAACGUACCUUGACAGUACCUUACCAGAAAGCCACGGCUAACUACGUG